GGAGAACCACUGUCUUAAGUGUAUUUGAGUGAUUUUGACACUUUCUUGGUGUACCCUAGUGGGGCGGUAUUGACUGUUUCUGUUUUUAUUGCCUUAAAAUAAAUCAAGCCUGAAAAAGACUGGGUCUGACGUUACCACCUGAGGUGUCCCUGAAACUCAGACGUUAGCAUUUCUGCUUUCAACUUCUGCCACAGAAGGGCUUCAGAUUUUUAAACACUUCUGGAGGGUUCUCUGAGCCCAGAAGCCUA
rnacentral:lncRNA from 1 species